rnacentral:rRNA from 1 species
UUUAAAGUCUGACCUGCCCACUGAAUUGAAAAAAUUUGAAGGGCCGCGGUAUUUUGACCGUGCAAAGGUAGCAUAAUCAUUAGUCUUUUAAUUGAAGGCUGGAAUGAAUGGUUGGACGAGGUAUUGACUGUCUCAAUGUAAAUGAAAGUAGAAUUUAUCUUUUAAGUCAAAAGACUUAAAUAGUAUUAGAGGACGAGAAGACCCUAUAGAGCUUUAUAUUUAAAGAUUAUUAUUUAUUUGGAAGUAUUUUUAUAAUAGUGAUAUAAGUAUUUUGUUGGGGUGACAGGAAGAUAUAAUAAACUCUUUUUAGUUUAAUUACAUUUAUUUAUGAAUUGAUGAUCCAUUAUUAGUGAUUACAAGACUAAGUUACCUUAGGGAUAACAGCGUAAUCUUUUUCGAGAGUNCUUAUCG